GACGAACGCUGGCGGCGUGCUUAACACAUGCAAGUCGAGCGGUAAGGCCCUUUCGGGGUACGACGAGCGGCGAACGGGUGAGUAACACGUGGGUGACCUGCCCUCAGCUCUGGGAUAAGCCUGGGAAACCGGGUCUAAUACUGGAUAUGACUCCAUGACGCAUGUUGUGGGGUGGAAAGCCUUGUGCGGCUGAGGAUGGGCCCGCGGCCUAUCAGCUUGUUGGUGGGGUGANGGCCUACCAAGGCGACGACGGGUAGCCGGCCUGAGAGGGCGACCGGCCACACUGGGACUGAGACACGGCCCAGACUCCUACGGGAGGCAGCAGUGGGGAAUCUUGCGCAAUGGGCGAAAGCCUGACGCAGCGACGCCGCGUGA
rnacentral:rRNA from 1 species